rnacentral:rRNA from 1 species
AAUCUUGCCCAAUGGGCGAAACCCUGACCCACCCAUNCCGCGUGAAUGAUGAAGCUCUUAGGAUUGUAAAAUUCUUUCACCGGGGACGAUAAUGCCGGUCCCCGGAGAAGAAGCCCCGGCUAAUUUCGUCCCACCACCCGCGGUAAUACGAAGGGGGCUAGCUUUGUUCGGAAUUACUGGGCNUAAAGGGAGCGUAGGCGNUCAUUUAAGUCAGGGGUGAAAUCCCGGGGCUCACCCUGGGAAUUCCCUUUGAUACUGGGUGUCUUGAGUAUGAGAGAGGUGUGNGNAUNUCCGAGUGUAGAGGUGAAAUUCGUAGAUAUUGGGAAGAACCCCAGUGGGGAAGGCGCCUCNCUGGCUCAUUNCUGACGCUGAGGCUCNAAAGCGUGGGGAGCAACCAGGNUUAGA